GAGUUUGAUCCUGGCUCAAGAUGAACGCUGGCGGCGUGCCUAACACAUGCAAGUCGAACGAAGCUUGCGGAUUGGAAUCCUCCGGGAGGAAGAACCGCAAGACUGAGUGGCGGACGGGUGAGUAACGCGUGGGUAACCUGCCCUGUACAGGGGGACAACAGCCGGAAACGGCUGCUAAUACCGCAUAAGCCUGCGGCGGCGCAUGCCGCUGCAGGGAAAACUCCGGUGGUACAGGAUGGGCCCGCGUCUGAUUAGCUGGUUGGCGGGGUAACGGCCCACCAAGGCGACGAUCAGUAGCCGGCUUGAGAGAGUGAACGGCCACAUUGGGACUGAGACACGGCCCAAACUCUUACGGGAGGCAGCGGUGGGGAAUAUUGCACAAUGGGGGAAACCCUGAUGCAGCAACGCCGCGUGAGUGAAGAAGUAUUUCGGUAUGUAAAGCUCUAUCAGCGGGGAAGAAAAUGACGGUACCUGACUAAGAAGCUCCGGCUAAAUACGUGCCAGCAGCCGCGGUAAUACGUAUGGAGCAAGCGUUAUCCGGAUUUACUGGGUGUAAAGGGAGCGCAGGCGGCGGUGCAAGUCUGAUGUGGAAACCCGGGGCUCAACCCCG
rnacentral:rRNA from 1 species